rnacentral:rRNA from 1 species
GACGAACGCUGGCGGCGUGCUUAACACAUGCAAGUCGAACGGAAAGGCUCCAGCUUGCUGGAGGACUCGAGUGGCGAACGGGUGAGUAACACGUGGGUAAUCUGCCCUGCACUCGGGGAUAGGCCUUGGAAACUGAGUCUGAUACUGGAUAUGACCUUUCUCCUGAUGGGGUUUGGUGGAAAGUUUGUCGGUGUAGGAUGAGCCCGCGGCGUGUCAGCUUGUUGGGGGGGUGAUGGAAUACCAAGGCGAGGACGGGUAGCCGGGCUGAGAGGGUGGGCGGCUACACCGGGCCGGGGAUGAGACACGGACCCGUCUGGGAGGCAGCAGUGGGGAAGAGUGUACAAGGGGAGGAGCGCUAGUGCAGCGAAGCCGUGUGAGGGGUGACGAGAAUCGGGUUGGAAACCUAUGUCCGCAGGGACGAAGCGUAAGUGACGGUACCUGCAGAAGAAGCCCCGGCUAACUAUGUG